rnacentral:rRNA from 1 species
AGCAGCCGCGGUAAUUCCAGCUCCAAUAGCGUAUAUUAAAGUUGUUGCAGUUAAAAAGCUCGUAGUUGAAUUUCGGGAUCAAGGCGUCGGUCGUGCUUAGGUACGUACUGGCGUCAUUGAUUUCUUCCUUCUGAUGAACCAUGAUGUCAUUAAUUUGGUGUUAUGGGAAAUCAGGACUGUUACUUUGAAAAAAUUGAGUGUUUAAAGCAGGCUCACGCUUGAAUACAUUAGCAUGGAAUAAUGAAAUAGGACGUUUGAUUCUAUUUUGUUAGUUUUAGGAUCGAUGUAAUGAUUAAUAGGGAUAGUUGGGGGCAUUAGUAUUCAAUUGUCAGAGGUGAAAUUCUUGGAUUUAUUGAAGACUAACUACUGCGAAAGCAUUUGCCAAGG